AUGAGCGGCUACAGCGAGGACGAGAAGCUGCGGCUGCAGCAGCUCCGCACCCUGCGGCGCCGCUGGCUGCGGGACCAGGAGCUGAGCGAGCGGGAGCCCGUCCUGCCGCCGCGGCGGCUGGGGCCGGUGGCCGCCUUCUGGGAGCGAUUCCUGCAGCCCGGGGGGUUCUGGAGGCACCAGGUGUUCAAGGCCUACCAGACCAGCGGCUUCAUCCUGACGCGGGUCCUGGUCCCCGCCUGGAUCAUCCUUUACUACCUGAAGUACCACGUCAUGAAAACGCCACAUGGAGUUGUUAUGUCAAAUCCACGGAUAUUCCCAGGGGACAGAAUUUUAGAGACGGGAGAAAUUAUGCCACCCCUGAAAGAAGAACCCCAUGAGCACCACUGAUGGUUAAAGCUGAUUUCGUCCUUCAGCAAACAAGGCGAGAACAGCAGCUGCUUUCUCUCUUCUAUAAAAGAGUUUAUCCUGCAUCGCCUCAGCUUUUCUGUCAUUUACUUUCUCCUUAGUCCACAUUAUUCCACUUGCUCCUCACAUGGGAGUUUCUUUUGCCUUUGGUGAGCUUGAUUGCUAAGCCCUGGUGAUCUCCGACCCCCCCUUCCUCAACUUCCUUGUCUGACCUGACAAGAUCUGGCAGCAGGACAACGUGGGCCUUAUAGUAACAGGAGAGAUGCUGUAGGUCCCAGGGGAUUGUGGAGUAGUCUGCUCAGAGGAAAGGUGUCACGGUGAGCUCCUGCACACACAUGCAAUGGCUGUCCUCUUCCAGUCUAGCAAGCCCUUUUCUACCAACCAGUUCUGACAGAGACUUCCAGUGAAAAUUAAGCUUCCACCUAUGUCAUCCCACUUCUCUGCCAAGAGAGGGUAGCCCAAGUGGCACUGCUGCCAAAACCUCUUUAUUCUUUACCCUUUAGCACUUCCUUCUCUGUCUUCAGCCCUUUCUGAGUUGGAGUCUUCCUCCCCUCACAGGCCCCAUGUACCUGAGGCGCUUUGUGCUGGGGAAGACUGGCCUCUUGAUGAGCAGGGAGUUAGAGUUGAUGAUCCUUAUGGAUCCCUUCCAACUUGAGAUAUUCUACAAUUCUAAGUGUCUUGGUGGCUACUUUGGGUGUAGAAAAGGUUAAACCAGCAAUCCAAAGGGUAACCUGAGGAAUGUAAGGGGAGGGGCUGGGACAGAAGCCCCUCAUGACCUCAUGGAACUAUGUGUGACCAGUAUAGCCAGUGCUUGUGAGGUCAAGGUGACAGGCAGGAGCCCCCCUGCUGUGCCCGGGGGCAGCCAGACCCCUUGUAGCCCCUCUGGUAGGGACUUGCACCAACAGAGCCAUGGGCAAUGCAGGGGUGAAGACUCUCCUGCAGUCGACAGAGCUCAUGGAGGCCAUGGACCCCAAGUCAGGCACCCCUGCUCAGCCCGCAGCCCCCAGGCCCCUGCUGGAACUGGGUGCUCCCCAGGGCCUCACCAAGCCUGCAGCCGUCUCUUUCCUCGGGUAAUAGGCAGCUCAGGGUGGGACAGCAAGUGGGGAAUAAAGUGGAGGGGCAGUUGUGGGCUGUGAGGGGGCAGCAGGAUCCUGCGGGUCAUCACUGGGAGGCUCUGGAGGGGGGCACUGGGGAAGCUCGAGGGUCUCUGGGGGAGCUGGAGAGUCAGCCGGGGGCUGUUCGGGGGCACUGGGGAGGGGAGAGACUGGAGAGUUGAUGGGGGCUAUUGAGAGUUAUCAGUUGCAAUAGGGGGGCAGUGGGAUUAAUAGAGGAGUUGUGGGGGCCGCAGGGGGGCUGAGACCUGUGCUUCCUUCCCAUGGCCAUGGGGGUCCCUGUCACUACCUCUGCCCCACGGUGCGUCAGUCCCGCCAGUGCGGAGUUCCCCAGGAGCCGUCCUCCCCCAAACUGCUGCACCCUGAAGCGAACCUUUGCCUGCACCAACUUGCUGCUGCUCAGCCUGGCCGACCCCGAUGGCGCUGCAGACGGGGAGGCUUCCCCUGGACCCCACCUACACACGCCAUGCCCCAGGGAUAACACCGAGUCCACCGCCCCACUGUUACAGCAGGAGCAUUCAUCACCACCGCCUCGCCUGUCCCACUGACGAAGACGGCACGUGGCACUCGCUGAGCAGGAGCACUACCCACCUGCUGUAAGACACCACACGCUGACAGCGUACUGGACCUGUGCAAUGAAUGUGUCUCUCUACAAAUACAGUAGUCUCUUCGGGACUCUGGGCCUCUGUUACACCUCUCAAAUUCUUUGAGUCUUAUUUCUGACUUGCGCUAAAUGUGGGUGAUGCAUUAUCUUGACAAUGAAAUCAAAACUCUUCUGGGUUUGUAGAAUAUUUUUCCCUUAAAUG